rnacentral:rRNA from 1 species
GACGUAGGGCGCGAGCGUUGUCCGGAUUUAUUGGGCGUAAAGAGCUCGUAGGCGGUCUGUCGCGUCGGCUGUGAAAACCUGGGGCUUAACUCCGGGCCUGCAGCCGAUACGGGCAGACUAGAGGUAUGCAGGGGAGAACGGAAUUCCUGGUGUAGCGGUGAAAUGCGCAGAUAUCAGGAGGAACACCGAUGGCGAAGGCAGGUCUCUGGGCAUUAACUGACGCUGAGGAGCGAAAGCAUGGGGAGCGAACAGG